UACGGGGGGAGCAAGCGUUGUUCGGAUUCAUUGGGCGUAAAGGGCGCGUAGGCGGCUUGGCAAGUCCGUCAUGAAAUGUACCGGUUCAACCGGGGCACUGUGUCGGAAACUGCCUGGCUUGAGGUCGAGGGAGGAGAGUGGAAUUCCUGGUGUAGCGGUGAAAUGCGCAGAUAUCAGGAGGAACACCGGUGGCGAAGGCGGUUCUCUGGGCAUUACCUGACGCUGAGGAGCGAAAGUGUGGGGAGCGAACAGG
rnacentral:rRNA from 1 species